rnacentral:rRNA from 1 species
AGUGGCGGACGGGUGAGUAACGCGUAAGAAUCUAACUUCAGGACGGGGACAACAGUUGGAAACGACUGCUAAUACCCGAUGUGCCGCAAGGUGAAACCUAAUUGGCCUGGAGAAGAGCUUGCGUCUGAUUAGCUAGUUGGUGGGGUAAAGGCCUACCAAGGCGACGAUCAGUAGCUGGUCUGAGAGGAUGAGCAGCCACACUGGGACUGAGACACGGCCCAGACUCCUACGGGAGGCAGCAGUGGGGAAUUUUCCGCAAUGGGCGAAAGCCUGACGGAGCAACGCCGCGUGAGGGAGGAAGGUCUUUGGAUUGUAAACCUCUUUUCUCAAGGAAGAAGUUCUGACGGUACUUGAGGAAUCAGCCUCGGCUAACUCCGUGCCAGCAGCCGCGGUAAUACGGGGGAGGCAAGCGUUAUCCGGAAUUAUUGGGCGUAAAGCGUCCGCAGGUGGUCAGCCAAGUCUGCCGUCAAAUCAGGUUGCUUAACGACCUAGAGGCGGUGGAAACUGGCAGACUAGAGAGCAGUAGGGGUAGCAGGAAUUCCCAGUGUAGCGGUGAAAUGCGUAGAGAUUGGGAAGAACAUCGGUGGCGAAAGCGUGCUACUGGGCUGUAUCUGACACUCAGGGACGAAAGCUAGGGGAGCGAAAGGGAUUGGAUACCCCUGUAGUCCUAGCCGUAAACGAUGGAUACUAGGCGUGGCUU